rnacentral:rRNA from 1 species
UACGUAGGGGGCUAGCGUUAUUCGGAAUUAUUGGGCGUAAAGGGCGCGUAGGCGGCCAUGCGUGUCUUCCGUGAAAUCCCUCGGCUUAACUGAGGACGUGCGGAAGAAACUGCAAGGCUUGAGUCCGGGAGAGGGGGGUGGAAUUCCCAGUGUAGCGGUGAAAUGCGUAGAUAUUGGGAGGAACACCGGUGGCGAAGGCGGCAUCCUGGACCAAUACUGACGCUGAGGAGCGAAAGCCAGGGGAGCAAACGGG